GCCCGGGUGGAAGGGGCCCGGGCUGGGGGGAGGAGGGUCCAGGCGGCCGCAGGGAGGGGAGGUAGCCAGGUCGCCAAACACUCUGGCCAGCAGACGAGAGCAAAGAAGACCGAGAGCGCGAGAGGGUUGCUCGAACUAAGCCGCGCCCGAUCCCUCCCUGGUCUAAGCGCCUCAACCCAGAGACCAGCCCUGGAGCCGAGGCUCGGGACUAACGGACGUCCCAGCCGUCCGCGCUGGCGGCUGAGGAUGCAAGUCCGUCCCCGCGGCCCGGGGGGCCUGCCCAGGCCCAGCUCGGCGGCCCAGGGCCUCACCUUGAGCCGAGAGCUGUCGGACACUGUUCACGAAUUGCUCCAGGGCAGACGCCAUGUUUCCCCCGCGGCGGCCCGAGCAGCAGAGGCAGCUCACGCGGGAAAAAGCGGCUGCUCUGGAAGGAGGGGCCGCGGCGAUCCACCACAGGGCCUCAACCGCGGCCCGACGUCACUUCCGCUGACUCAAGCACCGCGAGAUCUCACCUACCUGGGAGCCGGUUACUGUUUCCAUGGAAACAGUUUCGCUACUCACCGUAGCCGGAAGUUCGCUUUCUUUCCCUUCGCUUUUUAUCCGGUUCUCUGGUGAAGUUCCUCCUGCUGUUUAUUGGGCAUGUGGGCAAAGGAAGAUGCUAAACUCAAAAUUAGGCGCAGAUUUCCCGGAUUUUGCUUGGAAUGACCGUUCCGUUUUCCACGUACGCAAAUCCUUCAAGCCUGGAUUAAUUGCCACCUCUUCCACGAGGCUUUUCCUAUAGUGAAGAUUGGAGCCAGGCGGGCUGCCUGGAUUCAAAUCUCUUUCCUACUAUAGUAGCUGUGUGACUUUGGACACGUUUAUUUGGCCGUCCCCUGCCUUGUAUUGCCCAUCUGUAAGACUCUUCUAAUAACCUCAACAGAACAGUGCAUAGUGCAUAGUGAGAACUGCAUUUUCAUUCAGGGGCCUUACCACAGGAUCUGGUGCAUAGUAGGGACUGAGCAAAUAAGCGUACAUUUUAAAUUUCAUCCAACAUAUUUAUUGAGCAUUAACAACGUGCUGUAUUAGGUGCUAUGAAUACACUGGUGUGUAAAAACA